GGAGCGGGAGAUUGACAGGCGGAUUGGGGCAGCGUCAGCAGUGAUGCAGGCGCUUAACUGGUCCGUUGUGGUGAAGAGGGAGCUUAGCGAAAAAGCUAGACUCUCAAUUUACCGGUCGAUCUACGUUCCAACCCUCACCUAUGGUCACGAGCUCUGGGUAGUGACCGAAAGAAUGAGAUCACAAGUGCAAGCGGCCUAAAUGAGUUUCCUCCGCAGGGUGGCUGGGCUCAGCCUUAGAGAUAGGGUGAGGAGCUCGGACAUCCGGGAGGGACUUGGAGUAGAGCAGCUGCUCCUCCACAUCGAGAGGAGCCAGUUGAGGUGGUUCGGGCAUCUGGUAAGGAUGCCUUCCGGACGCCUCCCUUGGGAGGUGUUUCGGGCGUGUCCAACCGGGAGGAGACCUUGGGGCCACCCCAGGACACGCUGGAGGGACUACAUCACCCGGCUGGCCUGGGAAUGCCUCGGGGUUCCCGCGGAAGAGCUGACGGAAGUGGCUGGGGAGAGACGAGUACGAGUACGAGUAUGAGUACGAGUACGACUUUCAUAUAAACUUAUCAUGGACAGGACUGAGGAGCCGACCAUAUACGAGGGCUUGUUCCUGGCCAAGGAUGAGGAAGUUGAAACAUUUGUUGACCUUGUCAGGGGCAACAUGAGAAGUGUAAGAAAGAUUUGGUUUGUUUAUUACAAUAGUUUAUACAGCUUUUUAUUUGUUGUUGUUACUUCUUGUUUACAUGUCACAAUGUGUGUAUAAUGAAAUUACUUUAUAGGCAAAUGACAGUGUUGUUUGUGGUACUGCCAAGUUCACCGCUGGCAGAGAGACAUCCAAAAAGUCUGGUGCUCAGAUAGACAAGGAAGGCAUUCAAGUUGCAGUCUGCAGGUAUGUGUUUGUAAUAGUUUGUGUGUGUGUGUGUGUGUGUGUGUGUGUGUUCCGCUCUUGAGUCUGGUCUCAUUAUUUGAGUUUUAAUAGCAGCCCAAGUCUUAGUCUUUGUAAGACAGGAGGCAUUAAACACACAUUGGAAGCAUUAAACACUUUUGAUUGCGGAGUGUUAUUUAUCCAUCCUUUGUAGCAGUCAAGUAUUAUGUUUUGUUAUAGGCACCCAGAUGACAGAGAUGUGUGCUUGAGCCAGGCCUUGCGGGGUCAGCUGAUUUUUAACCACUACAUUUUCUUCUGAUUAAUCAGACAUGGGUUUCUCUUAUGAGGACUAAACCAUUAUCGCGGAGAAAUAUUUGCCUAUCCGAUGUUUCUUCAAAAAGAGAUGUCAAAGAAGGCAAAUGUUACCUUCUUCUGUAUGGAUGUCACAUGCAGGUACUGGCCCUACCUGAACAGAGUAGCAGAGGGGUUACCUGAGCUUCUGCCAUUGACAGAAAUGAGGCCAUUUCUUAGCGUCAUGCAUGCUAAAGCCCAUACAGCAAAAUGCGAGAGUGAACAUGCUGACACAACAAGCCAUGGGUUGGAACAGAAGAAAGAGGGACAACCUUCAUCAAGUGUUGACCCACAGAUAUGUCAAAGUCACAGAAAGGGCAAAGGUGGAAGCUACUAACCUCAGCAACAUCCAAAAGGAGCACAACCUUGAUCAGGAGACCAUACAGCAGUGGGUGUGUGAUGUCAGCCACUGGGCAGUCACAGAGAGAGUCUGUGCUCCAGGAUGUACUGAAGACCUCAGGGCUGAUAUUGAGAGCAUCACUGUAACCCUUUUGCGCAAGAAGCAAGAUCUGUAUUGUCAGCAUGAUAGCAACCAGGCAAGACAAAGAAAGCGAAAGAAAAUGACAGAGCUGAAGAAGAAGCUUCGUGAAAAGGUCUUGCAAUACAACACCAUAGCAGAAGAAGAUCAUAUUGAUGAGGAGUUGGCUUGCAGUCUGACAGGACUACAUCCUACCAUGGGAGAGACAUGGUGACGAAACGCUUGGAGGAGGAGCAGAGCAUCCUCGUGAAAGAGAUGUCUUGGCGCAUCAUAUAUCUUCUGAAGGAAGUGCAAGAAGUGGAGGCUCUCAGAGGACAGACUUUGGAGAGCAUCAAAACCAGCAUUCCUCUACAGAUUUUGGUGACCUGACAGAGGACAGUACACAUGGACUCUUCAGUGUCCUCAAUCGGAGGUGGCACUCACUCCAAAGUCAACACAAAAAGGCUGUAAAUGCGUACAGCGGUAUAGCCGCUAUGGAAUCAGAUCUACUCCAAAUACAGGAGAACAAUGAGGAGUGGGAUGACAGUGGCUUUACUAGCCCCGAGUCAGAGGAAGAAGACAUGUAAAGGCCGCUCAUGGAUGUAUUAUAAGACCUGGAUAAAAAACUAAAAAUGGUGCCCUAUAGGAGUUGCUCGGCUGGUGCAUACACCCAAACAAAUUUCUAGCUUCCAGGUUGUGCGGCCCACUAAAUAUGCACAGUAGUGUUCUAGUGUGCCUCCAAAUAAAAUGUGUUAUUAUUAUUAUUAUUAUUAUCAUUAUUAUUAUAAUUGACAUUGUUUGCAGUUCGAGGUGUCCUGUCAACAGUUUUACAGACGUAAAAUUAAAAUCUCAAUAAAAAUAAAUAAAUAAAAUAAUAAAAUCUCUAAAAUCUUAAAAUCUCCUAUAUUAGCUUACAGUUGGUGAGAUUAAAGAAUAAAAGAUAAAAAUAGUAUAAAAAUUAAAAGAUGAAAAGGAGAUCAAAGAUAAAAAUAUAAAUACAGUUUAUAUACAUAUUAUAUACAUAUGACAUAUAUAGUGUUAGUCAAUCAAUCAAUCAAUCAAUCAAUCAAUCAAUUUUAUUUAUAAAGCCCAAUAUCACAAAUCACAAUUUGCCUCACAGGGCUUUACAUACGACAUCCCUCUGUCCUUUGGACCCUCACAGCGGAUAAGGAAAAACUCCCCAAAAAAAACCCUUUAACAGGAAAAAAAAAAAAGAAAGAAAGGAAAGUGAAUAGAUGAUGUAAAACAGUUCGCAGAUCUGCAGCGUGAUUGUCUUAUGUUGAGAGUUCAAGGUGCAUUGAAUGACUCAUUUAUUGUUCAAUAUUCUGACUACAUGGGGCAGAAAGCUUCUCAUCAGUCACUGUACGUGCCUUUAGGUGCUUUGUCUAUAUCUUUUAUUUAUGUAACGCACUUUGACUUGCUAAUGUGUACAAAGUAAACUUUCCUUGCCUUUAUAUUAAACAAC